rnacentral:rRNA from 1 species
AGGAUUAACGCUGGCGGCGUGCCUAACACAUGCAAGUCGAACGAGGUAGCAAUACCUAGUGGCAGACGGGUGAGUAGCGCGUGGUCAACCUACCGUUGAGUGGGGGAUAACUAGCCGAAAGGUUAGCUAAUACCGCAUACGUCUCCGAGGGGCAUCCCUUGGCGAUAAAAGGAGCAAUCCGCUCGAUGACGGGACCGCGUCCCAUUAGCUAGUUGGUGGGGUAACGCCUACCAAGGCAUCGAUGGGUAGCUGGUUUGAGAGAGCGACCAACCACACUGGGACUGAGAUACGGCCCAGACUCCUACGGGAGGCAGCAGUGAGGAAUUUUCCGCAAUGGGCGAAAGCCUGACGGAGCGACGCCGCGUGUGGGAAGAAGGCCUUCGGGUCGUAAACCACUGUCGAAGGGGAAGAUAAUGACGGUACCCUUGGAGGAAGCCCCGGCUAACUACGUGCCAGCAGCCGC